AAUGCAGGGUGGACAGUGCCCUCCUGGUGGGAGGCAAGACAAGACGCAAAGAGCUGCAGGAUGGAGUGGAGCUGGGCGGGCUACGUGAGAUUAACCGAGUCUUUCUCUGCAGGGCGAGGCCUCAUAGAGAGUAUUCAACAAGAUGGCUCUGGGUACAGAGUAGACCGCAGAGGCAUUGAGGGCCUCACCCUCUUUACCAUUGGCCAAGGCGUGAUGUUCUGGGUGACAACUGAUGAUGCACAAAUCACUAAAGUUUGGUACGGCAAGGCAGAGCUUUCAGAAGACCAGUGGUUCCAAAUAGACCAGAAGAUUGUGGAUUUAAAAGUUUACAGUAAACUUAGUCAACAGGGUAAGCAACUUUGCAGCAAUGAGAACACAGAAGCCUGUUGAAUUUCCCUUUGAAGGGGAUCCUCUGCCCUGC
rnacentral:lncRNA from 1 species